UACAGAGGGGGCAAGCGUUGUUCGGAAUUACUGGGCGUAAAGGGCGCGUAGGCGGCCUUCUAAGUCGAACGUGAAAUCCCUGGGCUCAACCCAGGAACUGCGUCCGAGACUGGGAGGCUAGAAUCCGGGAGAGGGAUGUGGAAUUCCAGGUGUAGCGGUGAAAUGCGUAGAUAUCAGGAGGAACACCUGUGGUGUAGACGGCUCUCUGGACCGCAACUGACGCUGAGACACGAAAGCGUGGGUAGCAAACAGG
rnacentral:rRNA from 1 species